rnacentral:antisense_RNA from 1 species
UCAGAAAGGCGAUUCUCGCCGGUUCCCACAUAACUCCACUCCAUGGAGAGUCUUGGACCUCAUCUCAGAGACCUCCUUUCUCUCCCCGAGUCUGUAGUCGCACAUUUGGGGGCACGAUCCGGCUCAGUUUGGGAAGAAAGUUUUCCAUGGAUUCCACACCACCCUAUACUCUCCCCAGGGAGUAUAAGUAUACUCUUCAUCUUCUACUGGCCCCCAACCCACCUCUCCACUUCUAAAGAAGUCCCUCCCUGCUCUCUUCCGGUCCCUGGACGGCUACCCGCCCGUGGGGGGUUGGGGGGGACAAUCAAGGAGGUCUCCAGUUAGGAGUCCCGGGUACAGAGGCCACUCACGUGUCCAGGCGGAUUUUCUUAAGCGCCACCACUUCUCCCGUCAACUUGUUUCUGGCUUUGUACACAACUCCGUACGUGCCCUCUCCGAUCUUUUCCACCUUUUGGAAGUUCUCCAUGAAGCGCCAGCGAGUCGGGUCAGCCCGGCCCUGGAGCGGGGGCCUGGGAACCCUGCAGAAGGCGGACCCUGGCUCUCGGGGGCCGAGGAGGGGGAAACAGGGCCCAGUACCGUGGCCCCGGGUCGGGAUGGAACGCAGUAUACCUCUCGCUCUUGUCAAUUUGGCCAACUU